rnacentral:lncRNA from 10 species
GAUAGUACAGUUCACUUAAUUCUAACAACAGGAACGAGGGUACUGUGGGCUUCAUUUCAGAGAAGAGGAAACUGGGAUUUGGAGCUGAAGUAACUUGACCAAGAGCAGAUGGCAGGCACCCCUGAGCAUGAAAUAUAAAUUUCCCCCUGAGGAUUUAUGCCUUAUGUUUCUAGAGGGACAUAGAGAAGACAGAUAACGUAAAUACUUGGGUUCUGGAUUGGGGUUAUGUCAAACAUGCCACCGAAGAU